rnacentral:tRNA from 1 species
GGGGUUGUGGCUCAACGGUAGAGCGCUUGCCUAGCAUGUAUGAGACCCUGGGUUUGAUCCUCAGCACCA